rnacentral:lncRNA from 1 species
GGUAGACAUUGCUGGAGUAUGCCAGGUAGUGGCUCAAUUGCUUCAGCGACAAUAACAGUUUUAAAUAGCUCCUAGACCUCCCUAUCCUCUAGAAUCCUAUUACGAGAGGUUUUGAAGCUCAACCCGCCACUUUUUGAGCGUGGAGCUAAUCCUUUAGCAAUUAAGACAUGGAUUUGAAAGAUGGAGAUGAUGUUUGAUACGCUUCAGUUUUUAGAAAAUGUG